rnacentral:lncRNA from 1 species
UUUUUUUUUUAGUCUCCAUUUGUGCGGACACACCUGCCUCUAGGUGCCUGGAAAUAUUGGCUGCAGGUACCCUGCCUCCGCUGGGCUCUGCAGGUGCCAGGCCCUCAUGUGCCUGGGACCAACUGGUAGCUGGGCAGUGUUCACUGCUCAGCACCCCCUGGGGCAGCACCCCAGGGACAGCUUACAAAUGGAAAGCUGCGCCCUGCGGCCUCAGGAUCUAAAGAAGAGAACAUGGCCAUAGGCUAGAGACAAUCCAACAAUACAUUUGGAGUCUGCAAAUUUAGUAUUUGUGUCUGGACUGAAGUUACCUGUUAUGUAAGAAUUAUUUAAAAAGACCUGGGUGCAGUGGCUCAGGCCUGUAAUCCCAGCACUUUGGGAGGCUGAGGUGGGAGGAUUGCUUGAGGCCAGGAGUUCAAGACCAGGCUGGGCAACAUAGCAAGACCCCGUCUCUCCAGAACAAUGAAAAAUUUAGUGGGGUAUGGUGGCUCAUGCCUGUGGUCUCAGCUCCUUGGGAGGCUGAGGCAGGAGGAUCCCCCAAGCCCAGAAGUUCAAGGCUGCAGUGAGUCAUGAUGAUACCACUGCACUCCAGCCUGGGCAACAGAGUGAGACCCUGUCUCCAAAAACAAAAAUACAAAGAAUUAUUUAAAAGGGGGUCUAUGAAGUUAACCAAUAGCUGCUGCUGGGAAGAGGGCGAGGUGCCUCACUAGGAGAGCGGACCACGGGGGUUUCCAUGCACAGUCAGUGUGAGGGUCCCAAGUCACCCUUCCUUCCUGACCACAUUGGCCAGCCCACUUCUAGGCGCCAUGGGGCUCUGGAAACGCUGUUUUCUUUGAGCACAAACGUCCCAGGUUGCUCACUAGAGGAGGAGCUUUAGAAAUCUCAGUGGGUUCUAAAGGUGUGAGCCCAGAAAUACAGCUACAUGAUGAGAAAGCGUAGGCCAGGAGGGGCCUGUUCUCAGCUCUUC